rnacentral:rRNA from 1 species
CCUACGGGUGGCUGCAGUGAGGAAUAUUGGUCAAUGGUCGAGAGCCUGAACCAGCCAAGCCGCGUGAGGGAGUAAUGCACUGUGGGUCGUAAACCUCUUUUGUCGGGGAACAAAAGCCGGACGUCUUCCCCUGUUAGGUUACCCUUAGGAAAAGCCACGGCAUAACUCCUUACAGCCGGCGCGGUAAUUCGGAGGAUGCGAGCGUUAUUCGGAUUUAUUGGGUUUAAAGGGUGCGCCGGCGGAAGAUCAAGUUCGCGGUAAAAUGGAGGGGCUCAACCCCUUCGAGCCGUUGAAACUGGUUGUCUGGAGUGGGCGAGAAGUAUGCGGAAUGCGUGGUGUAGCGGUGAAAUGCAUAGAUAUCACGCAGAACUCCGAUUGCGAAGGCAGCAUACCGGCGCCCAACUGACGCUCAUGCACGAAAGCGUGGGUAUCGAACAGGAUUAGAUACCCGAGUAGUC